UUAGAGAGAACGCCUCAAUCGGGAUCCACAAGCAAACAUUUCCGAAAAACACUUCAUAGACAAUGCAAAUUACAAACAGACUUUACAAGCUCUGAACAGUGGCACAACAAAGGGUAAAAUGGUCCAUUACAGAUCGAAAAUCUCUCGUACGUGUCCACAUGACACAACCUUUAUUUACAAGCCUAAAGAGGCCACCAACCCA
rnacentral:lncRNA from 1 species